AACGAACGCUGGCGGCAUGCCUAACACAUGCAAGUCGAACGAGACCUUCGGGUCUAGUGGCGCACGGGUGCGUAACGAGUGGGAACCUGCCCUUAGGUUCGGAAUAACUCCCCGAGAGGGGUGCUAAUACCGGAUAAUGUCUUCGGACCAAAGAUUUAUCGCCUUUGGAUGGGCCCGCGUUGGAUUAGCUAGUUGGUAGGGUAAAAGCCUACCAAGGCGACGAUCCAUAGCUGGUCUGAGAGGAUGAUCAGCCACACUGGGACUGAGACACGGCCCAGACUCCUACGGGAGGCAGCAGUGGGGAAUAUUGGACAAUGGGCGAAAGCCUGAUCCAGCAAUGCCGCGUGAGUGAUGAAGGCCUUAGGGUUGUAAAGCUCUUUUACCCGGGAUGAUAAUGACAGUACCGGGAGAAUAAGCUCCGGCUAACUCCGUG
rnacentral:rRNA from 1 species